AACGCACAUUGCGCCCUAUGGUAUUCCAUAGGGCAUGCCUGUCUGAGCGUCAGCUCCCCCCCACUCAAGCUCUUUUGCUUGGAUUAUUUUGGACGAGCAGUCUUUUUUGAUUGCUGCCCAUAAAUUCAUAGGCAGUAUGGUACCCACUCCAAGCUGAGCGUAAUAAUUAAAAAAGUCACGCCCAUAUUGAAGUAGAUAUCGUACUCGCCCUUAACCCACAAAUUUUUUAUUUUGGGUGACCUCAGAUCAGGUAGGGAUACCCGCUGAACUUAA
rnacentral:misc_RNA from 1 species